UCCCUCAAGCUUCCCCUCACCAUGAGAGCUUCCCUCUCACUCUCUUCUCCCCUAAUCUUUCAUGAGUCCAGCUCACUUUCUCCUUUCCCCUCUCACUAGAUUGGAUCUUGAUGCAGGUGCAUGUUGGUCCAAGCAUGGAGAAGGUUGAGCUAUCCUCAGAUCUGAAGUUCUUGAGCAAAAUCCAAAUCGAGUGAUUCAAAGUUCCACAGAUAGGUAUUGAAAAGGUCUACAACUUGGCGUUGAUCUCAUCCUCAAAUUCGUUACGGAUUUUGCUUGAUCAAGAUCUGGUCAGAUCUGACUUUGUCGAAUUAAACCAGGAGCUUGGAAACGAAUUUUUCAAUGAAACCAACUGGGGGAUAAUUGGUUUAUACCAUGGUGAUAACCGAGAGAGGCAAUUGCUAAGUCAUGGCACUCUCAUACCUUCACUAG